UAAGGAAUAUUGGUCAAUGGACGCAAGUCUGAACCAGCCAUGCCGCGUGGAGGAUUAAGGCCCUCUGGGUUGUAAACUCCUUUUAUCUGGGAAGAAAUCCAUAUAUUCUUAUGUGGUUGACGGUACCAGAGGAAUAAGCACCGGCUAACUCCGUGCCAGCAGCCGCGGUAAUACGGAGGGUGCAAGCGUUAUCCGGAUUCACUGGGUUUAAAGGGUGCGUAGGCGGGUAAGUAAGUCCGUGGUGAAAUCUCUGAGCUUAACUCAGAAACUGCCGUGGAUACUAUUUGCCUUGAAUAUUGUGGAGGUGAGCGGAAUAUGUCAUGUAGCGGUGAAAUGCUUAGAUAUGACAUAGAACACCAAUUGCGAAGGCAGCUCACUACACAAUCAUUGACGCUGAGGCACGAAAGCGUGGGGAUCAAACAG
rnacentral:rRNA from 1 species